rnacentral:rRNA from 1 species
AUCUGGGCGGCGGAUUCAGGAUGGCGGGCGCGUUCUGCGUGUCCGUCGUUUGAUAUUUCCGUCGCCGCCGCAGACGUCGCGACCUGUUUGCCGUCGGUCCUUGUUCGAAGGAGUCGCGUUCGAGCUCGUUGCGGGUUGCGUCUCGGCGUGCCACGCGGCGAAGGCGCGUUCUUCUGGCUGACGGCGGACAGUAUGUAGCGGUGUCCGACGUCGUCGUCUCGUACGAGCGGCGUCGGUGCCGGUCGGCGACGAAUUCUUCGGGCCUCUUUCCGACCCGUCUUGAAACACGGACCAAGGAGUCUAACAUGCGCGCGAGUCGCGGGGUGUCGAGCGUACCUACGGGUGCGUUCGUUACGUUGCGAAACCCGUACAUGUAGAAGGCGUAAUGAAAGUGAAUAGGGAAGAUGGUGCUACCGAGUUCACGUUCCGCGAUCGUCGGUAUCGCGGCCGGUCACCCGCAUUCCCGGGGCGUCUCAACGGCCCGUCGCGGAUGCGGACAGUCGGCUCUCGGGUCGGCUGUCGGUCUGCGACGAACCGA